AGCCCGUGAAUUGGGCAUCGAAAUAAGAGUUUCUUGAACCUCACCUAUGUUUCGUUAAUGCGUUCAACUUCUAACCACUUAAAACCUUCAAUGUUAUCUUUGAGUUU
rnacentral:snoRNA from 1 species